AAGUCCUAGCCAGAAGCACUGAAGCAGAUUGGGUUUGGGAAGUGCUGGUGACAGAACCUCAGAAACUGUAUGUAAAUAAGAAGCAAAUUAAAGUUUGAUAUCAGAGUACUGCAAGGAUACUAGCAAGUAUCCCUGAGUACAUUUGGAACCAGCUUCUGCGUGUGUACACCCACACCCUGAAACAGAAAUGUAUUGUUCAGGAAUAUUGUGAUUCAUCCCCUUCAGUAGAAAGCCAAAAGGAGAUGAGGAGUUCCCACCUGCCAGCUUCUCCUGGUCGUCACCUG